rnacentral:rRNA from 1 species
CAGCAGCCGCGGGAAUACGGAGGGUGCAAGCGUUAAUCGGAAUUACUGGGCGUAAAGCGCACGCAGGCGGUUUGUUAAGUCAGAUGUGAAAUCCCCGAGCUUAACUUGGGAACUGCAUUUGAAACUGGCAAGCUAGAAUCUUGUAGAGGGGGGUAGAAUUCCAGGCGUAGCGGUGAAAUGCGUAGAGAUCUGGGGGAAUACCGGUGGCGAAGGCGGCCCCCUGGACAAAGACUGACGCUCAGGUGCGAAAGCGUGGGGAGCAAACAGGAUUAGAUAUCCCUGUAGUCCCUGUCUCUUAUAC